GCCGGGGGCGAUAGCACGUUGAUUUCACCAGUUUCCAAUGGAUCACUGAAGUUAAGUAACGUUUCGUGUGGUUGGUAUCCGGAUGGGUGACCAUCCGGGCAAUCUCGUGCUACUGGCU
rnacentral:rRNA from 1 species